AAUCAACGCUGGCGGCGUGCCUAACACAUGCAAGUCGAACGCGAAAGCCCCGCAAGGGGUAAGUAGAGUGGCAAACGGGUGAGUAACACGUGGGUGACCUGCCUUAGAGUCGGGGAUAACGUCCCGAAAGGGACGCUAAUACCGCAUAACAUCCUGCCUUUGAAGAGGUGAGAUCAAAGCCGGGGACCGCAAGGCCCGUGGCGCUAC
rnacentral:rRNA from 1 species